AAACGUGGCUUCGGCUCCGGCGCACAAAGAGGCCCAUAGGAAAAUUGUUAAUUUGUAGGAUGAACGCCUUACUUAGGCCACGAUCUCUAACUUCUCUUAGAGCAAGAUUAGCCACGCUGGGGAUGAGACGCGGCCCAAACUCCUACGGUAGGCAGCUUCGGGGAAUUUUGCACUAUGGGUGAAACCCUUAUGCAGCCCUUCCGCCUGUGUAAAGAAGGCCUUCGUGUUGUAAAGCACUUUCAGUUGUGAGGAAAAGUUAGUAGUUAAUACCUGCUAGCCGUGAUGUUGACAUCAGAAGAAGCACCGGUUAACUCCGUGCCAGCUGCCGAGGUAAUACGAAGUGUGCUAGCGUUAAUCGGAAUUACUGUGCGUAAAUCCCACGCAGACGGUUUGUUAAUCUAGAUGUGAAAGCCCCGGUCUCAACCUGGGAUGGACUUUUAAAGCUGGCAGAUUAGAGUCUUGUAGAGGCUAUUUUAAUUCCAGGUGUAGCGGUGAAAUGC
rnacentral:rRNA from 1 species